AACGAACGCUGGCGGCAUGCCUAACACAUGCAAGUCGAACGAGAUCUUCGGGUCUAGUGGCGCACGGGUGCGUAACGCGUGGGAAUCUGCCCUUUGGUUCGGAAUAACAGUUGGAAACGACUGCUAAUACCGGAUGAUGACGAAAGUCCAAAGAUUUAUCGCCAGAGGAUGAGCCCGCGUAGGGUUAGCGAGUUGGUGUGGUAAAGGCGCACCAAGGCGACGAGCCUUAGCUGGUCUGAGAGGAUGAUCAGCCACACUGGGACUGAGACACGGCCCAGACUCCUACGGGAGGCAGCAGUGGGGAAUAUUGGACAAUGGGCGAAAGCCUGAUCCAGCAAUGCCGCGUGAGUGAUGAAGGCCUUAGGGUUGUAAAGCUCUUUUACCCGGGAUGAUAAUGACAGUACCGGGAGAAUAAGCUCCGGCUAACUCCGUGCCAGCAGCCGCGGUAA
rnacentral:rRNA from 1 species